AGGGCACCACCAGGAGUGGAGCCUGCGGCUUAAUUUGACUCAACACGGGAAAACUCACCCGGCCCGGACACUGUAAGGAUUGACAGACUGAGAGCUCUUUCUUAAUUCAGUGGGUGGUGGUGCAUGGCCGUUCUUAGUUGGUGGAGCGAUUUGUCUGGUUAAUUCCGAUAACGAACGAGACUCUGGCCUAUUAAAUAGACGGUGUAUCUUGAAGUAUACCGCGCUUCUUAGAGGGACAAGCGGCGUCUAGCCGCAUGAAAUAGAGCUAUAACAGGUCUGUGAUGCCCUUAGAUGUCCGGGGCUGCACGCGCGCUACACUGAAAGAAUCAGCGUGCGAUUCGCCUGGUCCGGAAGGAUCGGGUAACCCGAUGAAACUCUUUCGUGCUUGGGAUAGGGAAUUGCAAUUAUUUCCCUUAAACGAGGAAUUCCCAGUAAAUUCGGGUCAUAAGCUCGAGUUGAUUACGUCCCUGCCCUUUGUACACACCGCCCGUCGCUACUACCGAUUGGAUGACUUAGUGA
rnacentral:rRNA from 1 species